rnacentral:rRNA from 1 species
UUCGGUCGAUUUAAGGUAAUUCUAGUGGCGGACGGGUGAGUAACGCGUGGGUAACCUGCCUUAUACAGGGGGAUAACAGUCAGAAAUGGCUGCUAAUACCGCAUAAGCGCACAGAGCUGCAUGGCUCGGUGUGAAAAACUCCGGUGGUAUAAGAUGGACCCGCGUUGGAUUAGCUUGUUGGUGGGGUAACGGCCCACCAAGGCGACGAUCCAUAGCCGGCCUGAGAGGGUGAACGGCCACAUUGGGACUGAGACACGGCCCAGACUCCUACGGGAGGCAGCAGUGGGGAAUAUUGCACAAUGGGGGAAACCCUGAUGCAGCGACGCCGCGUGAAGGAAGAAGUAUCUCGGUAUGUAAACUUCUAUCAGCAGGGAAGAUAGUGACGGUACCUGACUAAGAAGCCCCGGCUAACUACGUGCCAGCAGCCGCGGUAAUACGUAGGGGGCAAGCGUUAUCCGGAUUUACUGGGUGUAAAGGGAGCGUAGACGGUGUGGCAAGUCUGAUGUGAAAGGCAUGGGCUCAACCUGUGGACUGCAUUGGAAACUGUCAUACUUGAGUGCCGGAGGGGUAAGCGGAAUUCCUAGUGUAGCGGUGAAAUGCGUAGCUAUUAGGAGGAACACCAGUGGCGAAGGCGGCUUACUGGACCGGUAACUGACGUUGAGG